rnacentral:tRNA from 1 species
GAGGGUAUAGUUCAAGUGGUAAAAGCACAGGCUUAGUAUGCUUAAGGUCCUGGGUUCAAUCCCCAGUACUGCCA